rnacentral:rRNA from 1 species
AUAUCAAUAAGCGGAGGAAAAGAAACUAACAAGGAUUCCCCUAGUAACGGCGAGUGAAGCGGGAAGAGCUCAAAUUUAAAAUCUGGUUUGCUUGCAAAUCCGAGUUGUAGUCUGAAGAAACGUUUUCCAUGAAAAUCGAGGCACAAGUCCUUUGGAACAGGGCAUCAUAGAGGGUGAGAAUCCCGUCCAUGGUCUCGAAUCUUUCAUUUUGUGAUACGUUUUCUAAGAGUCAGGUUGUUUGGGAAUGCAGCCUAAAAUGGGUGGUAAAUUUCAUCUAAAGCUAAAUAUUGGCGAGAGACCGAUAGCGAACAAGUACCGUGAGGGAAAGAUGAAAAGAACUUUGAAAAGAGAGUUAAAAAGUACGUGAAAUUGUUGAAAGGGAACCGUUUGAAGCCAGUCUUGCUUACUUGUGAUCAGUCUUAGCUUCGGCUUGGAUGCACUCUCAGGUUAUGCAGGUCAACGUCAGUUUGAGAGGUGGGAAAAAAGCUUGAGGAAUGUGGCCUUCGGGUGUUAUAGCCUCUUGCUAAAUACCAUCUUUUGGACUGAGGCUCGCAGCAAAAAUGUGGGCAGGUUUGCGUUUGAGGUGAUCCAUUAUCAAGACAGCUUGCUGACUUGGUUUUGGCUAGCUUCACUGUAAGCUUCGCUUCUAAUUUGCUUAGGUCGUUGACAUAAUGGCUUUAAAUGA